CAGUAGCGCGGUAAUACGUAGGGUGCAAGCGUUAAUCGGAAUUACUGGGCGUAAAGCGUGCGCAGGCGGUUAUAUAAGACAGAUGUGAAAUCCCCGGGCUCAACCUGGGAACUGCAUUUGUGACUGUAUAGCUAGAGUACGGCAGAGGGGGAUGGAAUUCCGCGUGUAGCAGUGAAAUGCGUAGAUAUGCGGAGGAACACCGAUGGCGAAGGCAAUCCCCUGGGCCUGUACUGACGCUCAUGCACGAAAGCGUGGGGAGCAAACAGGAUUAGAUACCCCGGUAGUCCUGUCUCUUAUACAC
rnacentral:rRNA from 1 species